AAACCAACAGGGAUUGCCUUAGUAACUGCGAGUGAAGCGGCAAGAGCUCAAAUUUGAAAUCUGGCAACCGCCCGAAUUGUAAUUUGUAGAAGCAAUUUUUGAACUAGUCCUUGCAUAUGUUCCUUGGAACAGGACAUCAUAGAGGGUGAGAAUCCCGUUCAUGGUGGGGAGCCUAGUUCUUUGUAAAAUGCUUUCGACGAGUCGAGUUGUUUGGGAAUGCAGCUCUAAGUGGGUGGUAAAUUCCAUCUAAAGCUAAAUAUUGGCGAGAGACCGAUAGCGAACAAGUACAGUGAUGGAAAGAUGAAAAGUACUCCGAAAGGAGAGUGAAAUAGGACGUGAAAUUGUUGAAAGGGAAGUGCUUGAGAUCAGUGAUAGAGUGUAGUGAUCAACUUUCUUUUUAGUUUGUGCACUUGCUACUCUCUAGGCCAGCAUCAGUUUGAGAGUUAGGAUAAUUGCAUAGGAAUGUGGCUGUUUCGGCAGUGUUAUAGCCUGUGUCGAUACUACUUCUCAGACUGAGGACCGCGCAUUUGCUAGGAUGCUGGCAUAAUGAUCUUAAGCAGC
rnacentral:rRNA from 1 species